CAACCACCUUCACCUUUUGGCUAAGAUCAAAGUGUAGUAUCUGUUCUUAUCAGCUUAAUAUCUGAUACGUUCCCCAUUGGGGGACCUCGAUAUUAAACUGAUUUUUGGACACAGAUGAGAUGUCAGGGGCUUGCUCUGUGGCUGGAGCCUGUGAAGUCCGCACAGGCUUAUCAGGGACAACAUUU